GACGAACGCUGGCGGCGUGCUUAACACAUGCAAGUCGAACGGAAAGGCCCGGCUGUUGUCGGAUGCUCGAGUGGCGAACGGGUAAGAAACACGUGAGUAACCUGCCCUUGACUUUGGGAUAACUUCAGGAAACCGGGGCUAAUACCGGAUAGGAGCUCCUGCUGCAUGGUGGGGGUUGGAAAGUGUCGGCGGAUGGGGAUGGAGUGGGGGCUUAUCAGCUUGUGGGUGGGGUAUUGGCUUACGAAGACUUGGAAGGGUAGCCCGCCUGAGAGGGGGACCGGCCACAAGAGGACUGAGGUAGGGCGCAGACGCCUACGGGAGGCAGCAGGGGGGAAUAUUGCACAAUGGGCGGAAGCGUGAUGCGGCAACGCUGCGUGUGGGAAGAGGUCCUUCGGGGUGUGAACCGCUUUCGCCUGUGACCAAGCGUGCGUGACGGCACUGGCUAAAGAAGCACCGGCUAACUACGUG
rnacentral:rRNA from 1 species